UUAGCUCAGCUGGGAGAGCAUCUGCCUUACAAGCAGAGGGUCAUAGGUUCGAGCCCUAUAGGUCCCA
rnacentral:tRNA from 1 species